UGAGAGGUGUCACUGACUGGAAGUCACAGU
rnacentral:piRNA from 1 species